rnacentral:rRNA from 1 species
UGGGGAAUAUUGCACAAUGGGCGAAAGCCUGAUGCAGCGACGCCGCGUGAGGGAUGACGGCCUUCGGGUUGUAAACCUCUUUCAGCAGGGAAGAAGCGAAAGUGACGGUACCUGCAGAAGAAGCGCCGGCUAACUACGUGCCAGCAGCCGCGGUAAUACGUAGGGCGCAAGCGUUGUCCGGAAUUAUUGGGCGUAAAGAGCUCGUAGGCGGUUAGUCGCGUCUGCUGUGAAAACUCGAGGCUCAACCUCGGGCUUGCAGUGGGUACGGGCUGACUAGAGUGCGGUAGGGGUGACUGGAAUUCCUGGUGUAGCGGUGGAAUGCGCAGAUAUCAGGAGGAACACCGAUGGCGAAGGCAGGUCACUGGGCCGCAACUGACGCUGAGGAGCGAAAGCAUGGGGAGCGAACAGGAUUAGAUACCCUGGUAGUCCAUGCCGUAAACGUUGGGCACUAGGUGUGGGGUCCAUUCCACGGAUUCCGUGUCGCAGCAAACGCAUUAAGUGCCCCGCCUGGGGAGUACGGCCGCAAGGCU